GGAAGUGAAACAUCUCAGUACCCUUAGGAAAAGAAAUCAAUUGAGAUUCCCUCAGUAGCGGCGAGCGAACGGGGAUCAGCCCAUUAAGUUAUGUGUGUUUUAGUGGAACGCUCUGGGAAGUGCGAACGUAGAGGGUGAUAUUCCCGUACACGAAAGGGCACACAUAAUGAUGACGAGUAGGGCGAGGCACGUGAAACCUUGUCUGAAUAUGGGGGGACCAUCCUCCAAGGCUAAAUACUCCUGACUGACCGAUAGUGAACCAGUACCGUGAGGGAAAGGCGAAAAGAACCCCUGUGAGGGGAGUGAAAUAGAUCCUGAAACCGCAUGCAUACAAGCAGUGGGAGCACCUUCGUGGUGUGACUGCGUACCUUUUGUAUAAUGGGUCAGCGACUUAUAUUCAGUAGCGAGGUUAACCGUAUAGGGGAGCCGUAGAGAAAUCGAGUCUUAAUAGGGCGUUUAGUUGCUGGGUAUAGACCCGAAACCAGGCGAUCUAUCCAUGAGCAGGUUGAAGGUUGGGUAACACUAACUGGAGGACCGAACCCACUGUCGUUGAAAAGCCAGGGGAUGACUUGUGGAUAGGGGUGAAAGGCUAAUCAAGCCUGGUGAUAGCUGGUUCUCCCCGAAAGCUAUUUAGGUAGCGCCUCGGACGAAUACCAUAGGGGGUAGAGCACUGUUUCGGCUAGGGGGUCAUCCCGACUUACCAAACCGAUGCAAACUCCGAAUACCUAUGAGUACUAUCCGGGAGACAGACUGCGGGUGCUAACGUCCGUAGUCAAGAGGAAAACAAUCCAGACCGCCAGCUAAGGCCCCAAAAUCAUAGUUAAGUGGGAAACGAUGUGGGAAGGCAUAGACAGCUAGGAGGUUGGCUUAGAAGCAGCCACCCUUUAAAGAAAGCGUAAUAGCUCACUAGUCGAGUCGGCCUGCGCGGAAGAUGUAACGGGGCUAAAA
rnacentral:rRNA from 1 species